AUUGAACGCUGGCGGCAUGCCUUACACAUGCAAGUCGAACGGCAGCACGGGUGCUUGCACCUGGUGGCGAGUGGCGAACGGGUGAGUAAUACAUCGGAACAUGUCCUGUAGUGGGGGAUAGUCCGGCGAAAGCCGGAUUAAUACCGCAUACGAUCUACGGAUGAAAGCGGGGGACCUUCGGGCCUCGCGCUAUAGGGUUGGCCGAUGGCUGAUUAGCUAGUUGGUGGGGUAAAGGCCUACCAAGGCGACGAUCAGUAGCUGGUCUGAGAGGACGACCAGCCACACUGGGACUGAGACACGGCCCAGACUCCUACGGGAGGCAGCAGUGGGGAAUUUUGGACAAUGGGCGAAAGCCUGAUCCAGCAAUGCCGCGUGUGUGAAGAAGGCCUUCGGGUUGUAAAGCACUUUUGUCCGGAAAGAAAUCCUUGGCCCUAAUACGGUCGGGGGAUGACGGUACCGGAAGAAUAAGCACCGGCUAACUACGUG
rnacentral:rRNA from 1 species